GUAGGUGGCAAGCGUUGUCCGGAAUUAUGGGCGUAAAGCGCGCGCAGGCGGGUCCUUUAAGUCUGAUGUGAAAGCCCACGGGCUCAACCGUGGAGGGUCAUUGGAAACUGAGGGACUUGAGUACAGAAGAGGAAAGCGGAAUUCCACGUGUAGCGGUGAAAUGCGUAGAGAUGUGGAGGAACACCAGUGGCGAAGGCGGCUUUCUGGUCUGUAACUGACGCUGAGGCGCGAAAGCGUGGGGAGCAAACAGGAUUAGAUACCCUGGUAGUCCACGCCGUAAACGAUGAGUGCUAAGUGUUAGGGGGUUUCCGCCCCUUAGUGCUGCAGCUAACGCAUUAAGCACUCCGCCUGGGGAGUACGACCGCAAGGUUG
rnacentral:rRNA from 1 species